UCUGUUGUCAGAGAAGAACGUGCGUGAGAGUAACUGUUCACGUAUUGACGGUAUCUGACCAGAAAGCCACGGCUAACUACGUGCCAGCAGCCGCGGUAAUACGUAGGUGGCGAGCGUUGUCCGGAUUUAUUGGGCGUAAAGGGAACGCAGGCGGUCCUUUAAGUCUGAUGUGAAAGCCUUCGGCUUAACCGAAGUAGUGCAUUGGAAACUGGAAGACUUGAGUGCAGAAGAGGAGAGUGGAACUCCAUGUGUAGCGGUGAAAUGCGUAGAUAUAUGGAAGAACACCAGUGGCGAAAGCGGCUCUCUGGUCUGUAACUGACGCUGAGGUUCGAAAGCGUGGGUAGCAAACAGGAUUAGAUACCCUGGUAGUCCACGCCGUAAACGAUGAGUGCUAAGUGUUGGAGGGUUUCCGCCCUUCAGUGCUGCAGCUAACGCAUUAAGCACUCCGCCUGGGGAGUACGGUCGCAAG
rnacentral:rRNA from 1 species